GGGCUAACAAGAAANAAUUGGUUUUUCUAGAAUGCAAAAUCCUUGAGUCAAGAGAGCUAACAAAAUAUUCAACAUUUAAGCACAACUCUUUCACCAAUAUCUCUCAUUCCCAACUUCUUCCCUUUUCUUUUCUUUUUCAUUGAUCUCAUCUUCAUGCUUUUCUUCUUUUCUUUUCUUUUUCUCAUGAAUUUUUCUCUUUUCACCACAAUUGAGCUCAAUG
rnacentral:lncRNA from 1 species